AUCGAUGGCUUGCAUGUGGUCCAUUCUCAUUUCUCAUAAUACAGAAAACAAGGAAAAUGGAAAAAGAGUAAACAAGAAAUGGGGAGAAAAUUAUCGCAUCAUCUCAAAGAAAAACAGGCUAAAAUAUAAUACUACAGAAGCAAGACUAUAUUGUGCAUGCCAUAGAUCACCACAAUUAACAGGAAAUGCAAGCCCUAAAGUCUCUCUCUAUGAACAAUCAGAUUUAAAAACUCUGCGUGUUGGGAAUCACUGUUCAAUAAAUCUUUUUUGAUCGUGUCUUGCACUUCCCCUUGAACUCUUCUUUUAUUUUCGCUGUUUUGUACUCGAUCAAUGACAGGCCCAUGGUGCAAGGAAAAAGGUCAAUAAAUACAGCCAUGUCCUUCUCUAUGUUGUUAUAUCCAUCAGAAUCAUGUUAUUUAUCGAUAUCCAUUCAUGGAAUUUAAAGAUUAAGGAGAUAGCAUUAUAUAAAU
rnacentral:misc_RNA from 1 species